rnacentral:rRNA from 1 species
AGCGGAGUUUUGAAAAGCUUGCUUUUCAAAACUUAGCGGCGGACGGGUGAGUAACACGUGGGCAACCUGCCCUUGAGACGGGGAUAACUCCGGGAAACCGGAGCUAAUACCGGAUAACACAUAUCUUCGCAUGAGGAUAUGUUAGAAGGUGGCUUUUAGCUACCACUCAAGGAUGGGCCCGCGGCGCAUUAGCUAGUUGGUGAGGUAACGGCUCACCAAGGCGACGAUGCGUAGCCGACCUGAGAGGGUGAUCGGCCACACUGGGACUGAGACACGGCCCAGACUCCUACGGGAGGCAGCAGUAGGGAAUCUUCCGCAAUGGACGAAAGUCUGACGGAGCAACGCCGCGUGAGUGAUGAAGGUUUUCGGAUCGUAAAGCUCUGUUGUUAGGGAAGAACAAGUACCUGUUAAAUAAGCAGGUACCUUGACGGUACCUAACCAGAAAGCCACGGCUAACUACGUGCCAGCAGCCGCGGUAAUACGUAGGUGGCAAGCGUUGUCCGGAAUUAUUGGGCGUAAAGCGCGCGCAGGCGGUUCCUUAAGUCUGAUGUGAAAGCCCACGGCUCAACCGUGGAGGGUCAUUGGAAACUGGGGAACUUGAGUGCAGAAGAGGAGAGCGGAAUUCCACGUGUAGCGGUGAAAUGCGUAGAGAUGUGGAGGAACACCA